GGCCCCUUCGUCUAUCGGUUAGGACACAUGGUUCUCAUCCAUGAAAGAGGAGUUCGACUCUCCUAGGGGCUA
rnacentral:tRNA from 1 species